AGACAGGCAAGAGUGGGCUGAUCUAGAACCUGUUCCACAAGAUGAUGGACCCAAUCCAGUGGUGAAGAUUGCUUAUUCAGAAAAAUUCAUGGAUGUGUUUGAUAUGUUUCGGGCACUCCUGAAGAAUGAUGAGAAGAGCGAGAGAGCGUUUGCACUGAGUGCUGAUGCCAUCGAUCUCAAUGCUGCCAAUUAUACAGUAUGGCAUUUAUGGUCAAAAUGAGAAAGAGGCUGCUUUGAUCGACAUGAUGGAUGAUUUCCUGGUGGAGAUUCAGGCAAAAUACAUUAAGCUUAUUUAUCAGGAAUAUGAAACAGGAAAAGAAAAAUAUCUGAAGGAACUGCCUGAAAGUCUUGGGCGCUUGGAAAAAAUCUUAAGCAGCAACAAAGGAGGAUUUCUGGUUGGC